GACGAACGCUGGCGGCGUGCUUAACACAUGCAAGUCGAACGGAAAGGCCCUGCUUUGGUGGGGUGCUCGAGUGGCGAACGGGUGAGUAACACGUGAGUAACCUGCCCUUGACUUUGGGAUAACUUCAGGAAACUGGGGCUAAUACCGGAUAGGAGCUCCUGCUGCAUGGUGGGGGUUGGAAAGUUUCGGCGGUUGGGGAUGGACUCGCGGCUUAUCAGCUUGUUGGGGGGGUAGUGGCUUACCAAGGCUUUGACGGGUAGCCGGCCUGAGAGGGUGACCGGCCACAUUGGGACUGAGAUACGGCCCAGACUCCUACGGGAGGCAGCAGUGGGGAAUAUUGCACAAUGGGCGGAAGCCUGAUGCAGCAACGCCGCGUGCGGGAUGACGGCCUUCGGGUUGUAAACCGCUUUCGCCUGUGACGAAGCGUGAGUGACGGUAAUGGGUAAAGAAGCACCGGCUAACUACGUG
rnacentral:rRNA from 1 species